rfam:Avibacterium paragallinarum JF4211, WGS project CBMK01000000 data, contig: 18-3-45-14-71-52
UUCUAUGGUAGCGUGUUAUGGGAAAGGUUUCGCCCUUUGCUGUGUUCCAAUGUUCGCAGUUUUCGAGCCCGUAACACGUUACCGCCCAA